UACGUAGGGUGCGAGCGUUAAUCGGAAUUACUGGGCGUGAAGCGUGCGCAGGCGGUUUUGUAAGCCAGAUGUGAAAUCCCCGGGCUUAACCUGGGAAUGGCAUUUGGGACUGCAAGGCUCGAGUGCGGCAGAGGAGACUGGAAUUCCUGGUGUAGCAGUGAAAUGCGUAGAUAUCAGGAGGAACACCGAUGGCGAAGGCAGGUCUCUGGGCUGACACUGACGCUCAUGCACGAAAGCGUGGGGAGCAAACAGG
rnacentral:rRNA from 1 species